UACGUAGGUGGCAAGCGUUGUCCGGAAUUACUGGGCGUAAAGGGCGUGUAGGCGGCUAAUUAAGUCAGACGUGAAAUCUCUGAGCUUAACUCAGAAACUGCGUUUGAAACUGGAUAGCUUGAGGAUCGGAGAGGGCAGUGGAAUUCCCAGUGUAGCGGUGAAAUGCGUAGAUAUUGGGAGGAACACCAGUGGCGAAGGCGACUGCCUGGACGACACCUGACGCUGAGGCGCGAAAGCUAGGGGAGCAAACGGG
rnacentral:misc_RNA from 1 species